AACCGGAUUAGAUACCCUGGUAGUCCACGCUGUAAACGAUGUCGAUUUGGAGGUUGUGCCCUUGAGGCGUGGCUUCCGGAGCUAACGCGUUAAAUCGACCGCCUGGGGAGUACGGCCGCAAGGUUAAAACUCAAAUGAAUUGACGGGGGCCCGCACAAGCGGUGGAGCAUGUGGUUUAAUUCGAUGCAACGCGAAGAACCUUACCUACUCUUGACAUCCAGAGAACUUUCCAGAGAUGGAUUGGUGCCUUCGGGAACUCUGAGACAGGUGCUGCAUGGCUGUCGUCAGCUCGUGUUGUGAAAUGUUGGGUUAAGUCCCGCAACGAGCGCAACCCUUAUCCUUUGUUGCCAGCGGUUCGGCCGGGAACUCAAAGGAGACUGCCAGUGAUAAACUGGAGGAAGGUGGGGAUGACGUCAAGUCAUCAUGGCCCUUACGAGUAGGGCUACACACGUGCUACAAUGGCGUAUACAAAGAGAAGCGACCUCGCGAGAGCAAGCGGACCUCAUAAAGUACGUCGUAGUCCGGAUUGGAGUCUGCAAC
rnacentral:rRNA from 1 species